UCCUACGGGAGGCAGCAGUGAGGAAUAUUGGACAAUGGAGGCAACUCUGAUCCAGCCAUGCCGCGUGAAGGAAGACUGCCCUAUGGGUUGUAAACUUCUUUUAUAUAGGAAGAAACACUCUCACGUGUGAGAGCUUGACGGUACUAUAUGAAUAAGGACCGGCUAACUCCGUGCCAGCAGCCGCGGUAAU
rnacentral:rRNA from 1 species